CAUGGGAGGGGAGGCCUGGUACUAGGUGGACCUAACCUCUUUGAGGAACCACAGAGCCCAAGGCUGGAAACCUCCAGAAUCCUCCACCCCCGAUCCUCCCUGGGGACCCUGUGGCCUGUCUCACCGAGCUCUCUCCCCAGGGACCCCUGUGGCCUGUCUCACUGAGCACUCUUCCAUCCGUAGAUGUCUCGGCUGCUCUGUGAGGGAGUUCCCUUUCAGGUGUGGGGCUGGGCAUGGUCACUCCUGCUGGAUGUCUAGAUGGUGGAAACCAAGGGCCUAGGGAAAUACCAGGUACAGCCUUUCCAUGCUCAUCCAGCGCAGGACAAACAGGCCAGGCAGCGUCAGGAGCCCAGGUCUCCAGCUGGAGGGAAUGUCAAUCCUGCAGUGGGAACAGGGGCCCAUUGUACAUCCUAGGCACAGACACCACAGAUUAUAAAGGAGAACAGCAAGAGGUCCCCAGGAAACAUCCACAGAUGGCAUUGGAAAUAAGUCACUUUCUGAGAAGCAUGUCAUGUUCUGGGAAGGCUAAGGCAUCAAGUAAGGCCUAUGGGGUUGGAGGAUCCCUGGGCAGGUGGGGCAUUCCACAGCCUUGGGGUCUUCCCAUGGGAAUCGGGAGGUCCCAAGGCAGAGGCAGUGGUUCCACAGGAGGAGUCACAGAGCCACCAAGGGCUCUCCUGGCCCAGGGAGCAGUCAACACCAUGGACUGAACACCUGCUGGGCUCAAAGUCCUGGUCCAUACUGGGGCAUGUGGGGCCAGGAGGGAACUCGGAGUGGGAGGCAGAGAGACAAGUGUGCUCAGAGGGCACCCGUUUCUGGAAGUAGUGUGGUCCAGAGAUUUUGGCUGGGAAGGACUUCCAGAGUUUCAUAUGUGUUGUGGAGCUGCUUCCUCUCCCCAGCCUCACCCUGCAGGAAUGCCACUGAAUAUGUUGUCGCCAUCUUGGAGCUCAGUGCCCUCAUAGUGUAAUGGCACCAGCAGAUCUGCCUGUGCACGGACUUCCUGUACUACCUCAUUCCUGAGGAGCAAUGCUUCUGCAGGGCCUCUGACUUGGUGCACAACUUCAGACACCAUCAUCCUGGAGCAGUACCGCACCCUCACUAGCCAGGGUGUUGAUGACUUCCUCAAGGCCAAGCCCACGUUCAAGGCUUCGGACUUCAUUGAUGCACUUGUGCUGAGCAAGGCAGGCUUCUCCGGGAUCUUAAUUCAGGAGGUAGAAUGGAGCUUGAGAUCAAGCAUCUGAUGAAAGAACUUGCACUUGAUCUGGAGGGCUCUGGGGAGCCAUGAAAGGUGCUGGAUAAAGGAGUGGCAGUCAGAUUCGUUUUAGAGAUGACUGUAGAAGGCUGCCUAGGAGUGAACAAGAGCCAGGAGACCAGGGAGGGAGCUUGUGGGGCAGGUCUGGAGAUGGCAAGGGAGGGAUCCUGCUUGGAUGAAAGGUCUUCAGGCACUGUCUCAUGUUACACUCAGGUGCCCUCAGAGCUAGUAUGUUGAGUCUUACCUCCAGGAUGAAAAUGGGAAGGAGUUGUCAGACGAGGACAUAGAAAUGGAGGCUGGCAUAUUCAUGAGUGCCGGUGGUGGUCCCAGUGUGGGACUACUGUGGGAACAGGGGUCUUUCCAUUCAGGGAUGUGGUGGAUGGACUCUGCGUCACUCCAUUCUGCCCUUCCUUUCCCUCCUCCCAUUCUCCUAAAAGCCUCAGUGCAUGGGCGCUGUU
ensembl:lncRNA